rnacentral:lncRNA from 1 species
UUUGGAUCAUAUAGUAAUGCCGGUGGAUGAAGAGCAACUGGGAUUAACUAGAGAUUUUCUAGGCGUUGGAGAUGAAACAUUAAGAACACCAUUCCUGCACCAAGACCUUGAUAAGUUCAACCCUAUAGAAUCGGUUUUGAACUUGCAAAGCCAGUUCGGUGGGCAUCACAAUAUGAUGAAAUAGCUCACACUCCAGAAGACAAAGAGUAAAUCCAACUUCAUCAAUGUUUUUGAGUUUGAAUCCAAUUGUUGAUCCUAUCCCACGCCAGAAAGUAUUACUGAUCUUCUCCUGGUAAGGAUAUUUAUGAUAAAAAAAUAACUAGUGGAGUUGUAUGAUACAUAUGUAUAUAUAGCUGAGUACAAGUAGGAGCAUAAGAUAUUGAAUAAAUCUACAUACAAUUCUUCCAAUGUUUGUGUCUUUGUGUUUGUGAUGAUGUUUUCAAUAUAAAAAUAAGAUAUAUGUAACAGCUGCUACAUAUGUUAUAUAAUAACAUGUAACAUAUCUUUUAUAUAUAUAUAUAUUUUAAAAAUACCACAAAUAUUUAAGGGAUUGCAUGCACAUCCUAACUUGUAUGAAACAUGCGCAUGAGUUAUGAACAAUGAGAGUUUUUUGAGGUCAGAAUUGAGAGACAAGCAUAGUGAGAAGGAGAUAUAUAUUAUGGAUCACAUGAUGAUGAUAUGAAUCAUAUCAUAGAGAGAUCUCGUGAUAGAGGUGGAGGGCCAUUCCAUGUUGGAUAGAGACAAUAUACUGUUACUUUUUGUCUAUUUUUAACUCAAAAAUAUCUCAUUUUCCUUAAAUUGUCACUUAAUAAUAUUGUAAUGUAGGGCAUAGAUUUAGAAACAUAAACAGCUGCUUCCUCUAUGCAUGUCGUAGAAAUAGUGUAUUAGUAUAGUAGAGUAAAUUUCCUCUUUAAUCUUGCCUAUAUAUAUAUUCGGACUGAAAUCACUUAUCUCAAACGGUAUUAUAUUUUAUGUCUAAUCCAAAUAUGACAUUUUGUUAUUUUUGUUUUUAGAAUUUUCUUUUUACUCAUAUGUCAAGAUGUAAUAGGCUUAAGACAGAGAAUAUGAUACAAUUAGAGAUAUGUGAUCAUUUUUCCAUAUAUAUAUCAUAUAAUGGUGACAGAAUUUUAAAGUGUCAUAGAUGGUGGCCAUCACCUAUUUUAUUUGUUGCCAAAUGCUGACGAACAAUCAUUGUCAAGGAAUCACUUAAAAAAAAUUAUGUCAUAUAAAAUAAUGGUUUAAAAGUAUUUUUUUAGUUUCUUCCUCGUUCAAUAUUUGGAGAUUAAUUUUUGCCAAAAGAAAAAUUAUUAUAGUGAGUUUUGUAUUCGACAAAAAUUUAUAAUUUUUAUUCAUCAAUGGAUAAUCAAUUAAUAGAGAAGAUGUGUUAUAAGGAAUUGGUUCCAAAAGAUCCAACAAUUUGUCCCUAACAACUAAGUUCCAUACAAAAUAAAGCUAUUACCUAAUAUCAUCCUAUUCCCAAAUAUUUCCUUACACAUAAUUAUUAUUUACCAGAAAAAAUAGCUUUUUUCUUGUUCUCAGUGGUGUCCGUGAAGUACUACUUCCACCCUGAAAUUAAAUAAAAUACUAUAAAUGCCAUUUUCUUUGCACCUCAUAUAACAAUAUAGCAUAUAUGCUUCAUUAAGUAUAAUAUUGAGUUAGCGAGUCCUAAUCCUAACGUUAGUUUCACCAUGCACUACGAUAGUUUACAUGUAUUUUCAUUCUUCUCUAUCAGUUUUGGUGGCUAUCUAUGUUAUGGUAAUUUCUGUUCGUGAAUGUGUUGCAAUCCCACAUAGGACAAGAGAUAUGUUCAUUUUUUAGAAAAUUAAUUUUGCUUUAAUAUUGAAUCCUCUGAAAACAAUCUAACAAUUUAUCACUAGUUUAUCAAUUUCAAUACACAAUUUUUGCACACAAUCCCAUGGAUAUAUUUAUUUAAGCUUAGAAUAAAGGUAUGUUUCUACAUACCUUAGAAUAAAGAUGCUUUGACAUUUAUCUACCUUAUUUUAACAUGUGUUGUUGAUUUGACACUCAAUAGGAAGAAAAAGAAAUACUUUUCCUUUGAUAUACAUGAGAUUCAAACUCAUAAAUUGUGGGGGUACAUGGCCUAAUAAUGCCCAUCAUAGCCCAUUAAUUAAUGAGGCCAAGGUUAACAUGGGUUGAAAUUCGCAGCAGAUAUAUAUAGAUAUUUAUAUACAUAAAAGUAACUUAAUAAAUACUCAUUUUUAGUGUUGGCCUAAUGUGAGGUUUGGGAUGAAUCAGAUUUACAUCCUUAUUAAGUGGUCCUAGAUUAAGUUGUAUUAAUAAGCUCUAUAUCAUCCAUUUUACUUUAGAACUGAUCUCUCACUCACAAAAUUCAGACCAUAUAUUAUAUUAUGUCAAUAAAAACAUGAUAUGUUAUUAAAAAUUGUUUUAUUAUUAUUAGUACGAGACAACAUAUAAAAUAUGAUUUGAAACAAUAAAAAUCUAUUUAGUUAUAUGUUUUGAUUUAGUCCUUAUAAAAUAUCCAAUGACCUUCAAAGAAAAAUUUGUAAGCAUAUCAGGUUGUGCUGCACGAUGCCACUAACAACCAAAAACGAUUUCAGAAGAAUCCAUGUUUUAAAUGACUCAACCAUCACAAUUCACAUGCCAUGUUCUACCAACAUCAAAAUCUACAUCUUAUAUUUUUUAUAUAUAUUUUAGCCUCUUAGGUAUUAUUUUCCAGUUUGCAUAGAAAAAAAGAGUAGAAAAGAAAGAAGGUAACCAAACCAAGGUAUGAAAGAAAUGAAGCUAAUAAAGUUUGUAGACAAAAAAUAAAGAAAAAGGAAACACUCAUUUCAAUCAUUUGUCAUUUAGGUGUGACAGAUGAGCAACCAUAUCAAUGAAAUUGAAGUAAGUAAUCCACCGUCCUUUGAAUUUGUUCCUUUUAUUUUUAUUCUAACAUAAUAUCACGGCCCCAACAGUGGCAUCUAAAAUCAGAAGGACAAAUCUUUGUAAUUUAUUUUUAAAAAACAUCAAUUUUUUUAUUAAAAAAACAAAGUGUAGUGCUACUCUUUUAUAUGAGCACAAUUGUUAUCUAUUACUUCCUUAAAAAUAUAUAUUUAAAUUUACAAUUUAAUAAUAAUCAAUUAUUUUUUUAAUUAAUCAUUGGGAGUGAUACAGUUGAACUUGUUAAUGACAUGCAUUGAAGUAGUUGGCUGACUUCAGUUCCUGGCUCUACAAUGCUACUUACCAACUCACUCAUACAUAAAUUCUUACGAUAAUUUAUCUCCUCAAAUUUAUUAAUUGUUUGAUAUAUAUUUUAUUUAUUUUAUAAUAUAUUUUAAAAUAAAAACGUUUUGAGAUAAAUGAAAUAAAACACAUGUUAAACUAUUAAUGAAUUUAAGGAUAUAAUUUAUUCUUUAACAAUAAAUAUAACUUUUGCUAUCAAAAUGGCUGAGAAAUAAAUAAAAAAUAGAUUUUUUAUUGACAAACAAAUAAAUCAUUCUAUAAUUCAUUACUACGUUAUUACCCAUACAAAACUUAUCCUUUCAUUUUUCAUUAAGUUGAGCAAAAUUGUUAUUAAUGUUCUCUCAAUUGUUUCCUUAUCAUAAAUCAUGGAUGUAGGGAUCAUAAGGUAUGAACACACAACUUGGAGUAUCUAUUAUUGUUAAAACUUGUCUCUUUUGGUCUAAUUCUUUAUUCUAAGUUUGACACAUGUAUCCUAAACUAGUUUUGUUAUUUUAUUUAUUGUUUAUAAAUUGAACACCAGAAGAAGAAAAACAUUAUCUCAUCUUUCACUUGUCCUGAUACAGAAUACACAUGCUGCAUUGCAUAGCCUUGUCUGUUUCUCUAACCUUAGCUUUUGUGAAGCUUGGUAUAAAUCUGUAGUGACAUUAUUUUCCUAUAGAAACUAAGAUAGAGUGUGCUCAUGAGAGAGUUUUAGGUGAAGACAAUGAAGGAACACGACAAUGUCACCGACAACCUUAUUUCCUUAUUAACAUAUUCACACAGCUGUCGUGUCCUUCUCUUUGUAUAACACAUAUUUCAUUCCUUACCUCUUCUCUUCACUCUUCUUUCAUUAUCUCUUCACAAAGCAACAUUUUUUUUCAUUUUCAAUUUUCAUUAUACACGCAUGUGACUCAUAAAGCAAAACAAAGCAAGGUUGUUUUGUUUUUUGUGUUAACUAAGCAACCCCAUUUUAUUACUAUUUGGUUAGAGGAAAGUGUGUUGAAAACAAAAAAGAUAUGGACAUGAGAGGGACACGGAUUCUGUUCUUUGUGUUUUGGUUCCUUGGCAUUUAUGCUCCUACUUUGUUUUGUGCCAAUGUGCAAUAUGAUCAUAGAGCAUUAGUGAUUGAUGGCAAACGCAGGGUCUUCAUAUCUGGUUCUAUUCAUUACCCUCGUAGUACUCCUGAGGUGAAUAACUAUUCUCCACAACUCUCACACAACUUUGAUUAUUGUAAGGCAGUGUUAUAAAAAGUAAAGUUUUUUUUGGAAAAGUUGUCCAAAUUUGAUGUUUAAGAUAACAUUACUCUUCUCUUGUGUAUGUGAGUUUGUGUGUGGUGCUUGAAGUUAAUAGUGUGGACUAUGGAGCUUGUUUUUGCAGAUAUGGCCAGACCUUAUUCAGAAAUCUAAAGAUGGAGGAUUGGAUAUCAUUGAGACCUAUGUUUUCUGGAACUCACAUGAACCAGUUAGAGGCCAGGUUCAGUGUUACUUCUAUGCUCUGUCACUAAUGUAUAGACUUAUUAUUACUUCUAUGCUGAGCAACCAUGAAGGCAUGAAACUAGUUAAAGAAAAAAAACAUUAUCUUCAAUUAGGAAAAAAAUGAAAAAAGCUUAAUUGGUUAAACUAUUUACCUAAAUUGGUACUAUGCUUUAAAGUGUUUUUCAAUAUAACAUGGAAUGCUGAACACUCUUUCACUUUAAUCAAAAGACAGGGAUUGCUUAACGACAUAAAAUAUUGAAAUGGGUAUUUGCAGUAUAAUUUUGAAGGAAGGAAUGAUUUGGUGAAAUUUGUGAAGGCAGUAGCUGCAGCAGGUCUAUAUGUGCAUCUCAGGAUUGGUCCAUAUGCCUGUGCUGAAUGGAACUAUGGGUAAAGUUUAAUGCUUUCUAUGCAUUUGUUCAUAUCGAUGUUCAUAUCUAAUCCUGGCCUUUAACUUCUCAACAGUGGUUUCCCUCUUUGGCUUCACUUUAUUCCGGGAAUUCAGUUCAGAACUGACAAUGAACCAUUCAAGGUAAACCCCUUCCUUUCUCUUCACACCGUCAUGUUGUUGUUCUUCAGGGUUCACUCUCCUAAAUCUUUGUCUUCAGGCAGAAAUGCAGAGAUUCACAGCUAAGAUUGUGGAUUUGAUGAAGCAAGAGAGUCUCUAUGCCUCACAAGGAGGACCUAUUAUUUUAUCUCAGGUUUCUCUAUUUUGUGUGUGUUUUAUUAGAUGGAGUCAUCUGGUUAUUGUUUGGGAAUGAGAGAAUAUAUGAUUUUUCUAAUGCCAGAUUGAAAACGAGUAUGGAAACAUUGAAGUGCACUAUGGUGGUGCUGGUAAAUCCUACGUCAAGUGGGCAGCGACAAUGGCUACAUCUCUUGAUACAGGGGUUCCCUGGGUCAUGUGCCAGCAAGCAGAUGCUCCUGAUCCAGUUGUAAGUUUUCUCCUUUCAUAUGUCUACAUCAAGUGUUUGCGGUUUAUGUUUUACUAUAUUGUCUGCUGUCUUCCUGAAAAGAACCAUCGUUGUAUGCUGUCUCCAUUCACCUUAAUUGGUUGUUACCUUAAUAUCGUUGCAGAUUAAUACAUGCAAUGGGUUUUACUGUGAUCAGUUCACACCAAACUCUAAUGCAAAACCAAAAAUGUGGACUGAGAAUUGGACUGGAUGGUUAGCCUUUUUUUCUUUCUAUAUAUCAUUUAGUUUUUCGAAUGAAGGAUAUCCCACAAAAUGUGAUCUCAUCGGUUGAGUAACUCCUUUCUUGCUUGAAUCUUCUUUAGUUUGUUAUUUUGUUUCAAUCUUUGGGAAUCUUUCAAAUGGCAGGUUUCUUUCAUUUGGUGGUUCUGUUCCAUUUAGACCCGUGGAAGAUCUUGCAUUUUCUGUGGCACGCUUUUUCCAACGAGGUGGAACAUUUCAAAAUUACUAUAUGGUAAUGCAACUUUACAUGUUGUGUAAGCUCAUUAUGGUAUAAGGAAACAAGCGGAUACUGCAAGUUUUUUAUUGGUUGCUCUGUAACAGUACCAUGGAGGGACCAACUUUGGCCGAACUUCUGGGGGACCUUUCAUUGCUACUAGCUAUGAUUAUGAUGCACCGAUAGACGAGUAUGGUAUGCACUAUUUCAACACUAAAUUAAAUUGGAGUAUGGUAUGCACCAAUUCAUUGGUGACAUUGUAGAUAAUAGUAAUAGUAAUGUACCGCUUAUUGUAAAUCGAGUGCAGCUUAGUUUCCAUACGCAUUCAAGAAGAUAAAUGAAUAGCAUUCCGUAUGCAGUUUAUUUGCUUGUAUGUAGAAGACGGAAACAAACACCUGAACAUAUUUUUUCUAAUAUGUUUACUUAUGCUGCAGGGAUCUUUUUGGCUUGAAUAGUAAUAUUGUUGAAAUGCAGACAAUUUUGAAGCACGGAAAUCAACAAGGUGGAAACUUCAACAAUAUGGUGGUGAGUUCAUUAAAUGAUACGAAUAAUUGUAGUUCCUUUGGGAAUUUGGAUCAUAUAGUAAUGCCGGUGGAUGAAGAGCAACUGGGAUUAACUAGAGAUUUUCUAGGCGUUGGAGAUGAAACAUUAAGAACACCAUUCCUGCACCAAGACCUUGAUAAGUUCAACCCUAUAGAAUCGGUUUUGAACUUGCAAAGCCAGUUCGGUGGGCAUCACAAUAUGAUGAAAUAGCUCACACUCCAGAAGACAAAGAGUAAAUCCAACUUCAUCAAUGUUUUUGAGUUUGAAUCCAAUUGUUGAUCCUAUCCCACGCCAGAAAGUAUUACUGAUCUUCUCCUGGUAAGGAUAUUUAUGAUAAAAAAAUAACUAGUGGAGUUGUAUGAUACAUAUGUAUAUAUAGCUGAGUACAAGUAGGAGCAUAAGAUAUUGAAUAAAUCUACAUACAAUUCUUCCAAUGUUUGUGUCUUUGUGUUUGUGAUGAUGUUUUCAAUAUAAAAAUAAGAUAUAUGUAACAGCUGCUA